AAGUGUAUCCUGUGUGUUAAGAAAUGUUGUACGAGGCGGAGAAAUAUACCAAGUAUAAUCGAAUCUGUGUGAAUCGAUUAAUUAUCAACCCCAAACCUACAUUAAUUAACAAUUGAUUCGUGAUAUCGAACGCCAAUCUAAAAGAAAUAUAGCAAUCAUCCAGAAACAAAAGAUUAGUUCUAGAAUUCUUGCCUAUUUGUUCGUUUGUAUGUUUGUACUCGCAUCAUGUAAAAGCUAUUGAUUUAAACUAUGGAUUUUUAUGAAGUUUUCUCUAUUGCAUAGCUUAGUGUCCGGAAAGAAAAGAGGGUAGGUUGCAUCUUGAUCCUUUUUGUAGAAACUGAGACAUAGCCUGCCAUCUGAGCGGUGUACGUUCUCAUGUUUGGUCGAGCAAUUGGAAAAAAUUGGAGAGAAUAGUUUAACUACUGGCAUAAAAAAUAUCUAGAUCUUAUUCAUAAAAACAACUGUUGCUUUAACGACAACAAAAAACAAAACUGCUUUAGAUUAAAACCAUGAACUCAUCAAAUUCAUCUUUCUGUUUCUCUUCAAAUGAUAUAUUUAUUUUGACAGAAACAGAUUUACUAUUUAACGACUGGUGCUGCUUACUAAGCAAGAGGAAUAUCCAAAUCUUUUGGACUUGUUACAAACAAAAGUAUUUAUAAUCGCGAUCCACGUCAGUGACAUCCAUCAAAUAGUUUAAUCUUUAUUUGAUUUCAAAAAAACAGUUUACCUGUAAAGAUUGAACGCACGCAGACUUUAAAAUAACUUGGAGGACGAGACACGAUGAAGGUCGUGCGAUCAUUCGAUCAUUCCAAACAUGUGGAAGCAGGGAAUCGGUUACAAACGAUUUAUCAAGGAACAAAAAUGAAACUAAAGAAGUCAAUUCAUCGAUCAAAGUAUAUACUGUACGGCGCAGUAUUGUGAGUGACAAAAAUUGUUCCUGGUAUUACUUACGUCAGAGAGAAUUUGGGACUUUAGAAAAGAUUAAGGAAAAUAGCUUUCGACGAAAGGUUUAUGAACAACACCUUUAAUCCGACAGUAGAAGAACUUGCGAGAAAGGUGCACUUUCCUCUAAGUUUACAGGAAAGUAAUCGACAGAAAUCGUGGGUAAAAUAACAUAUAACGUGAUUCUCGUUCGAUCAUAAAAUAAAUUAUCAAAGUUUCAUGGAAAGUUACACGUAAACGUGUGAUGUAAUAUAUCUGAUAUCGGGAAACGCGAAUAUUCUUGUUGAUACUAUUACGUGACUAGUUUAUACAUCUUAUAUUAAAUGCUAUUAGUUCGUUCUAAUCGUGUGAGGAAUCGAUUCAUCAAAUUCUUCAAUCAAUACAGGCUAUAUGUUACUAAUAUAUAAUUAUUUCAAAUAUUUUAAUGCGCUUUAAACGAAUACCGUUUAUAAAGUAAAGCUAAUUUAACUUAUCUGUAAAAUUAUAUAAUUCCAUAAAAUUAUAUAAUUUUCUUAACAAUAUCCUUUUGAAAAUUACAAUGUUGCCUUCUUAAGAAUGACUACCUUAAAAACAUAAAUUUAACAUAUAGAUACGAAACGAAAUGUAUACAUCAGAGUACUAUACGAUAAAGAAUCGAAUGACCGAUUAUAUCUAUUAAGUGAAAUCUUCUAUUCCUGUUCUUUCUUUAAUUAGUCGAAUUGAUUAAACUAUCUGUACAUUCACUACUAUUUUAUAAUCUUGUUCAUUUUUUAUAAUUAUUUCGAUUCUUAGAAAAAAGAAAAAUGUUAAAGGAAAAUGGGUUUAAAAUCAUUCUACAAAAAUUAAGUAUGAUUUUAGCUCAUUUAGUAUAAUUAUCGCAGAAAAAAAAUUAAAAACAAGGUUACCCAUCCAAUUGUAAAAAAUGAUCAAUUUAGAAGAACGUAAACAUUAAAUAGUACAAUCUACCAAACGUAAAUAAUUAAGAGAAAUAUUUUCAGAAAUAUAAAAUUCUAAGGUAAUGUUUAGAUAAAAUUGAAAGAAUACUAAGAUCAAAAUGAUAAAGAACAUGAAUCGAUAAAAUUAUAAAUGUAAAAAUGUA